rnacentral:rRNA from 1 species
GAUGAACGCUGGCGGCGUGCCUAAUACAUGCAAGUCGAACGAAGGUCUAGCUUGCUAGAUCUUAGUGGCGAACGGGUGAGUAAUACAUAAAUAAUCUGCCCAUACGACUGGGAUAACUAUUGGAAACGAUAGCUAAUACCGGAUAGGUUGAUUGGAGGCAUCUCUGAUUAAUUAAAGUAGGAUUUCUACACAAAUGGAUGAGUUUAUGGCGCAUUAGUUAGUUGGUGGGGUAACGGCCUACCAAGACGAUGAUGCGUAGCCGACCUGAGUGGGUGACCGGCCACACUGGGACUGAGACACGGCCCAGACUCCUACGGGAGGCAGCAGUAGGGAAUUUUCGGCAAUGGGCGCAAGCCUGACCGAGCAACGCCGCGUGAGUGAUUAAGGCCUUCGGGUUGUAAAGCUCUGUUGUAAGGGAAGAACAUUCGGGAUAGGAAAUGAUCUUGAACUGACGGUACCUUACCAGAAAGCCACGGCUAACUACGUGCCAGCCGCCGCGGUAAGAC